rnacentral:rRNA from 1 species
UACGUAGGGGGCAAGCGUUGUCCGGAAUCAUUGGGCGUAAAGAGCGUGUAGGCGGCUUGGUAAGUCCGCUGUGAAAGUCCAGGGCUCAACCCUGGAAUGCCGGUGGAAACUGUCAAGCUUGAGUCCGGAAGAGGCGAGUGGAAUUCCUGGUGUAGCGGUGAAAUGCGCAGAUAUCAGGAGGAACACCAAUGGCGAAGGCAGCUCGCUGGGACGGUACUGACGCUAAGACGCGAAAGCGUGGGGAGCAAACAGG